GGCGGCGUGCCUAACACAUGCAAGUCGUGCGAGAAAGUUCCUUCGGAGGCGAGUAAAGCGGCGCACGGGUGAGUAACACGUAGGUAACCUGCCCCCCAGUCUGGAACAACUAGAGGAAACUCUAGCUAAUGCCGGAUGAGACCACGAUCCCUUCGGGGGUUGCGGCCAAAGAUGGCCUCUACUUGUAAGCUAUCGCUGAGGGAUGGGCCUGCGGGCCAUUAGCUUGUUGGUGAGGUAACGGCUCACCAAGGCUGUGAUGGCUAGCUGGUCUGAGAGGAUGACCAGCCACACUGGGACUGAGACACGGCCCAGACUCCUACGGGAGGCAGCAGUGGGGAAUAUUGCGCAAUGGGCGAAAGCCUGACGCAGCGACGCCGCGUGGGUGAUGAAGGCCUUCGGGGUCGUAAAGCCCUGUCGCAGGGGAAGAAUAAGCAUCGGUAUAAUACGCCGAUGCCCUGACGGUACCCUGCAAGAAAGCACCGGCUAACUCCGUG
rnacentral:rRNA from 1 species